rnacentral:snRNA from 1 species
ACCUUUGCGCAGUGGCAGUAUCAUAGCCAAUGAGGUUAAUCCAAGGCGCGAUUAUUGCUAAUUGAAAACUUGUCUAAUGGAUGUUGUCUUCAGUUUGCAGUCCUGCUUGACUGAUGUUAAAAGUUCAUGUUCUCUUCUAGAUG